UACGUAGGGGGCGAGCGUUGUCCGGAGUUACUGGGCGUAAAGGGCGCGUAGGCGGGCUCUUAAGUUGACAGUGAAAGCCCCCGGCUCAACCGGGGAGGGUCUGGCAAAACUGGGAGCCUGGAGGACAGAAGAGGAGAGUGGAAUUGCUGGUGGAGCGGUGGAAUGCGUAGAGAUCAGCAGGAACACCCGUGGCGAAGGCGGCUCUCUGGUCUUGUCCUGACGCUGAGGCGCGAAAGCUGGGGGAGCGAACGGG
rnacentral:rRNA from 1 species